AAUUAUUUAUUUGAUGGUUUCUUACUACAUGGCAUAACCGUAGUAAUUCUAGAGCUAAUACAUGCGUAAAGUCCCGACUCUCGCGGGGAGGGAUGUAUUUAUUAGAUUAAAAACCAAUGCGGCCUUUGGUCGGACUUGUGUUGAUUCAUAGUAACUUUUCGGAUCGCAGGGCUUCACGCCGGCGACAGUUCAUUCAAAUUUCUGCCCUAUCAGCUUUCGACGGUAGUGUAGUGGACUACCGUGGCAUUUACGGGUGACGGAGAAUUAGGGUUCGAUUCCGGAGAGGGAGCCUGAGAAACGGCUACCACA
rnacentral:rRNA from 1 species